rnacentral:rRNA from 1 species
UACGGAGGGUGCAAGCGUUGUCCGGAAUUAUUGGGCGUAAAGAGCUCGUAGGCGGCUCGUCGCGUCGGCUGUGAAAACCUGGGGCUCAACCCCGGGCCUGCAGCCGAUACGGGCGAGCUAGAAUUCGGUAGGGGAGACUGGAAUUCCUGGUGUAGCGGUGAAAUGCGUAGAGAUCCGGAGGAACACCAAAGGCGAAGGCAGUGUCCUGGGGAGUACCUGACGCUCAGGUGCGAAAGCCAGGGGAGCGAACGGG